rnacentral:rRNA from 1 species
UACGUAGGGGGGCAAGCGUUGUCCGGAAUCAUUGGGCGUAAAGCGCGUGUAGGCGGCUCGAUAAGUCCGCUCUGAAAGUCCAGGGCUCAACCCUGGGAUGCGGGUGGAUACUGUCGGGCUCGAGUCCGGAAGAGGCGAGUGGAAAUUCCCGGUGUGAGCGGUGGAAAUACGCAGAUAUCAGGAGGAACACCGAUGGCGAAGGCAGGUCUCUGGGCCACUACUGACGCUGAGAAGCGAAAGCAUGGGGGAGCGAACAGG